ensembl:lncRNA
CGAGAAGGCAAGGGGAGGUGUCUGCUGAAGAGGAUGGAGAGGAUGGAGAGAGAGAUGGAGGUGUCUGCUAAAGGGGAUGGAGAGAGAGAGGGAGGUGUCUGCUAAAAUGGAAGGAGGUGGAGAUGGAGGUGUCUGCUAAAGAGGAUGGAGAGGGAGAUGGAGGUGUCUGCUGAAGGAGAGAGAGAUGGAGGUGUCUGCUAAAGAGGAUGGAGAGGAUGGAGAGAGAGAUGGAGGUGUCUGCUAAAGGGGAUGGAGGUGGAGGUGUCUGCUGUAGAGUUCCAUCUUUUCAUGUCUAGUGAUGAGAAGAGGAGGAAGAGCUGAGAUGAGGAGGAGAUGAGGAGGAGGAGGAAAAGGAGAUGAGGAACAGCUGAGGAAGCAGAGGAGGAGAUGAGGUGAGAUGAGGAAGAGGAGGAAUAAAGAGGAAGAUGAGGUGAGAUGAGGAAGAGGAGGAAUAAAGAGGAAGAUGGGGUGAUAA